UACGUAGGCAGCGAGCGUUGUUCGGAGUUACUGGGCGUAAAGGGUGUGUAGGCGGUUCUUUAAGUUUGGUGUGAAAUCUCCCGGCUCAACCGGGAGGGUGCGCCGAAUACUGAGGAACUAGAGUACGGGAGAGGAAAGUGGAAUUCCUGGUGUAGCGGUGAAAUGCGUAGAUAUCAGGAGGAACACCGGUGGUGUAGACGGCUUCCUGGACCGUAACUGACGCUGAGACACGAAAGCGUGGGUAGCAAACAGG
rnacentral:rRNA from 1 species